rnacentral:tRNA from 1 species
AAUUCGGUGGAGCGGUAGAAUACCUGCCUGUCACGCAGGGGGUCGCGGGUUCGAGUCCCGUC